AUGCCAACUUUCUCGUUUAUCUUCUAUGGGUUUCAUGUGCUGUUUUUUAUCCUUUGCAUUGAUCCUUUUCGACUUGUUUUGGUGCUUUGCGUGUGUGUCUUAGGUGGCGGCUCUCGCCGGGCCAAUCCCGUUCGUGACACUGGUUCCAAGCGUCUGCGCAACCCAGGAGAAGUUCCCGAGGGGUCAUCUGCAUCGAAGCGCAAUGUCAAGACCACCGCUAGCAAGCACAAGGAGCCCGCCAGGGGUAUGGAUGAGAUAGGCGCUCAAGAGUAUGUCCGUCUCAGGCAGCUUCACCCCUAUGUGCACCCACGCUCCACUGUCAGAGGGUGUGAACUGUUCUGGAACAAGACGCAAACCCAGAUCUACUUGGAUGUCAUCAAGAACAAGGUGAAUACCUAUGUGGAGGUGAAGUGGAUUGAUAUGCACCACAUGAGGAAGGACAAGUUUCGUGACUACUUUGGGGAGGCUCUGGACUUGGUGGAGCAGUUUGGAAUUGAGCAUGUGAUCUCUUUCCACAUGGACUAUGACCCUGAGAUCAUCUGUCAGUUCUUUGCCUCAGUUUUCUUUCACACCAAUGAUGAAAGGAGGAUGACUUGGAUGACCAAUGGCCGCCAGCUGUCUGCUACCUGGAAGGAGUUCAUGGAUUUGCUUCACGUUGCUGAUGAUGGACUUGACACUCCCGUUGGGGUUCGCCCUCACGGCAAUGCUGACUCUGCUGACAAGGACAAGCUCACCCCGUUCUUGGUUGAGAAGACGCUCGCUACUGGCAAGAUAAUCUCGGUUCUCAACCCCUUUCUGGAUAUCAUGUACCGCAUCUUCCGCAACUCCUUGUUCCCACGCAUCGGUGACAAAGACAAGGUUCAUGCCUACAUGGUGGACAUGAUGCUUAUGUGCCAGGAGGCUCGCUCGUCUCAGACUCAGCCACUUGAUGUCUCUCACAUCAUGUGGUGUGAGCUUCGGUUUGCUGUGUUCAAUCGCAAGGUGCCUAUUUAUGGGCCCUACCUGUUUCUGCUGAUUUCGAAGACUUGGGAGAAGAUGUACCCUGAGGAGGAGUUCCUGGCUCCAGUCUGGAUUCGCCAUGAGCCCAUUUGUCUGAGGGUCAAACCCAACUGGGCUAACACCGCUACUCGUGCUGAGGCAUCUGCUGCGAGGGCUGCUGCUGUCGAUGAGGAUGUUGCUGGCGCUGAGGAUGUUGCUGGGGGCCGCUCUGCUAGGCCCUCUCAAGUGACUCUAGGCCAUCUUGGGCCAAGAAGUUGA
rnacentral:rRNA from 1 species